rnacentral:rRNA from 1 species
CAUUACCAGUAUUAGAGGCACUGCCUGCCCAGUGACAUUAGUUAAACGGCCGCGGUAUCCUGACCGUGCAAAGGUAGCAUAAUCAUUUGUUCCUUAAUUAGGGACUUGUAUGAAUGGCCCCACGAGGGUUUAACUGUCUCUUACUUUUAAUCAGUGAAAUUGACCUUCCCGUGAAGAGGCGGGAAUACAAAAAUAAGACGAGAAGACCCUAUGGAGCUUAAAUUAAUAUGUUCAACAGAAUUUAAUUAUAAUCCAAUAGGAAUAAAAAUAUUCUAACUGAACAAUAAAUUUUGGUUGGGGUGACCUCGGAGUAUAACAUAACCUCCGAGCAAUUAAACCAAGACUUACCAGUCAAGGCCAUAUAACUUAUUGAUCCAAUCUUAUUGAUCAACGGAACAAGUUACCCUAGGGAUAACAGCGCAAUCCUAUUUAAGAGUUCAUAUCGACAAUAGGGUUUACGACCUCGAUGUUGGAUCAGGACACCCAAAUGGUGCAGCAGCUAUUAAAGGUUCGUUU